rnacentral:ncRNA from 1 species
CCGCUGCAAAACCCGGGGCGCGAGCCCGGGCGGAGCGGCCGUCGGUGCAGAUCUUGGUGGUAGUAGCAAAUAUUCAAAUGAGAACUUUGAAGGCCGAAGAGGAGAAAGGUUCCAUGUGAACGGCACUUGCACAUCGGUAAGCCGAUCCUAAGGGACGGGGUAACCCCGGCAGAUAGCGCGAUCACGCGCAUCCCCCGAAAGGGAAUCGGGUUAAGAUUUCCCGAGCCGGGAUGUGGCGGUUG